rnacentral:rRNA from 1 species
CCUACGGGAGGCAGCAGUGGGGAAUAUUGGACAAUGGGGGAAACCCUGAUCCAGCGACGCCGCGUGAGUGAAGAAGUAUUUCGGUACGUAAAGCUCUAUCAGCAGGAAAGAAAAUGACGGUACCUGACUAAGAAGCCCCGGCUAACUACGUGCCAGCAGCCGCGGUAAUACGUAUGGAGCAAGCGUUAUCCGGAAUUACUGGGUGUAAAGGGAGCGUAGACGGAUGUGCAAGUCUGAUGUGAAAGGCGGGGGCUCAACCCCUGGACUGCAUUGGAAACUGUAAAUCUUGAGUGCCGGAGAGGUAAGCGGAAUUCCUAGUGUAGCGGUGAAAUGCGUAGAUAUUAGGAGGAACACCAGUGGCGAAGGCGGCUUACUGGACGGUAACUGACGUUGAGGCUCGAAAGCGUGGGGAGCAAACAGGAUUAGAUACCCUUGUAGUC